GCGAACGUUAGCGGCGGGCCUAACACAUGCAAGUCGAACGCGAAAGGUCUUCGGACUGAGUAGAGUGGCGCACGGGUGAGUAACACGUAGGUAAUCUACCCUUUGGCGGGGGAUAACGUUCCGAAAGGAGCGCUAAUACCGCAUAAGACCACGGAGUCUCCGGACGCUGUGGGAAAAGGUGGCCUCUUCUUGAAAGCUACCACCGAAGGAUGAGCCUGCGUCCCAUCAGCUAGUUGGUAAGGUAAUGGCUUACCAAGGCGAAGACGGGUAGCUGGUUUGAGAGAAUGAUCAGCCACACUGGCACUGGAACACGGGCCAGACUCCUACGGGAGGCAGCAGUGAGGAAUAUUGGGCAAUGGGCGAAAGCCUGACCCAGCCACGCCGCGUGAGUGAUGAAGGCCCUCGGGUCGUAAAGCUCUGUGGAGAGGGACGAAAACCCUGGUUUCAAAUAGGCUCCAGGCUUGACGGUACCUCUUUAGCAAGCACCGGCUAACUCUGUG
rnacentral:rRNA from 1 species